rnacentral:rRNA from 1 species
AUUGAACGCUGGCGGCAGGCCUAACACAUGCAAGUCGAGCGGAUGAAGGGAGCUUGCUCCUGGAUUCAGCGGCGGACGGGUGAGUAAUGCCUAGGAAUCUGCCUGGUAGUGGGGGAUAACGUCCGGAAACGGGCGCUAAUACCGCAUACGUCCUGAGGGAGAAAGUGGGGGAUCUUCGGACCUCACGCUAUCAGAUGAGCCUAGGUCGGAUUAGCUAGUUGGUGGGGUAAGGGCCUACCAAGGCGACGAUCCGUAACUGGUCUGAGAGGAUGAUCAGUCACACUGGAACUGAGACACGGUCCAGACUCCUACGGGAGGCAGCAGUGGGGAAUAUUGGACAAUGGGCGAAAGCCUGAUCCAACCAUGCCGCGUGUGUGAAGAAGGUCUUCGGAUUGUAAAGCACUUUAAGUUGGGAGGAAGGGCAGUAAGUUAAUACCUUGCUGUUUUGACGUUACCAACAGAAUAAGCACCGGCUAACUUCGUG